AUGAGUACUUUCUGUUGGAACUGCCGUGGUGUGGGCAACACCGCGACAGUCCAAGAACUUCGCGAUUUCGCGAGGAAGCUUGCCCCUACCCUUUUAUGUAUUGUUGAAACUCAGAUAGGAGGAUCUAGGGUAGAGAAUUUAGCUGGCACUUUGGGAUAUGAUAAUGCGUAUGCCGUUGAUAGCGAAGGCAGAAGUGGUGGAAUUGGUCUCUUUUGGAACAAUGGAAUAAAGAUUGAUAUUUUGGGUUAUUCUUGUUAUCAUCUGGAUGUGUCUGUAGAGGAAGAAGGUCAUGAUGCUUGGAGAAUGACGUGUGUAUAUGACGAGGCUCAAACACACCUGAGAUAUCGGACUUGGGAUGUUCUAAAGAACACCAGCACAUCUAGCUCUCUACCCUGGUUGUGCAUAGGGGACUUCAACGAGGUUUUACGCGCAAGUGAACAUGUCGGAAUUGGGAUGAGGAGUAAUACUCAAAUACAAGCUUUCAAGGAAACAGUUGAUAUAUGCAUGCUGCUUGACAUCGGAUACAAAGGCAGGCCUUGGACAUUUGAAAAGAGAGUGGUUGGAGGGACAUAUACUAGAUGCAGACUAGAUCGUGCGCUGGCCAAUGCUCCAUGGAUGGCUCAGUUUGCAUCUGGUGGAUGA
rnacentral:rRNA from 1 species